CUAAAUAUUCAUCUACCACAUAAAAUAACAACAGAAUCGAAACUACAACAAACAAUACAAUAAUCGAAAUAUCAUAACAAUAUUAAACCUCACCUUUACACAAAUUCUUUAAAGCUGGAUCGAACUUUUAUCUAUCACCUAUACUGAGCAGAAAAAAUAACAUAUAUCAAUUGAACAAUACGAUAAUCAAGAUAUUUGAAUAAUACAAUUAGAUUUAAUAUUUACACUGAAAUUCCU
rnacentral:lncRNA from 1 species